AUUCAGUUUUUUAAGCACUGACGUGAUCACUUCAGAUAAAAUCUUUGCACUGUGUAUGAGUGUAGUAUUAUAGGAUGCCUUUAGAGUGGUUUAGAGAAUUAUGUCACUCUGGAUUUCUUUGCACCUUUCUAUCAGAAUGGAUUGCGUUUGAGAUUAUUAUUAUAGUGUGUGAAAUUUUUAUGUAUUUUUUUCUUUUGUAUAUUUAUUUUGAAUUUCUGUUGCUAAGAUGGACAGAAGAUUUAAUAAACACCUACACUUACAAGUUUCUAGAACUAAUAAUGAAUGAGACUAAAUUGCCUUUAAAGAUGGGUUCGCUUUAUAGGAACACCUUUGCUAUAAAGACGCCAGUAUGUAUAAAUAAUUCAGAAUUCGGUUCAUGACAGAAUGUUUUAAUGACAGUACUUCCAGAAAAUGUGACAUUGUGCAUCAAAUUUGAGAACCAUGAGCUUCACACGCAUUAUUAUAAUCAUUCCUACUGAUCACGGAGACCCACAGGACAGAUUAAAUUACAGAUUCACAGAGCUCUUCAUAUUCGGUUCUCAGAAGUGCUCUUAAAAUAAAAUAAAUAAAAAAAAGAAAGAAAGAAAAAUACAGUCCUUGUAACAUGAUAAUAAUUGAGAUGAAAACAUUUCACUCACUUUAUCUCCAUAAAUGCUAUAGACUGUAGAGUAAAAAAAACACACAAAUGAACUUCAAAUCUAUAGUUGAGAUUUAGGAAUGUACACUCUUUGUGCAAAAAAUAAAGUUAUUAAAGAAAAGUAUGAGUAUGCUUAACAUGCAGAAAAAAAACAGCCUUCUAUUUUAAUAAGGCUUUAAAAAUGUAAACAGUGAAUUUGGCUUUUUUUUUCUGGAAAUGUAACAGAGGUAAUGUAUUUUAAAGUUCCUUGCUACAUUUUGAGCAUCCUAAUUGACAGCUGAGCUGCAAUAUCCAGAUGGUUUUAACACUGUACGAAAGUAAAGUUCAUGUGCACUGAUUUAUCUGCAGUUAUGCUUUUUUUAA